rnacentral:rRNA from 1 species
AACGUAGGUGGCGAGCGUUAUCCGGAUUUACUGGGCGUAAAGCGUGUGCAGGUGGCCUGUUAAGUGGUGUAUGAAAUCGCCCGGCUCAACCGGGCGGGGUUAUGCCAGACUGGCAGGCUAGAGGGUGGGAGAGGGAUGUGGAAUUCCGGGUGUAGUGGUGAAAUGCGCAGAUAUCAGGAGGAACACCGAUGGCGAAGGCAGAUCUCUGGGCCGUAACUGACGCUGAGGAGCGAAAGCGUGGGGAGCGAACAGG